rnacentral:rRNA from 1 species
UACGGAGGGCGCAAGCGUUGUUCGGAAUCCAUGGGCGUAAAGCGCGUGUCGGCGGUCUGGUCAGUCGGGUGUGAAAUACCGGAGCUCAACUCCGGAACUGCAUUCGAUACUGCCAGGCUAGAGUCCCGGAGAGGGUGGUGGAAUUCCCGGUGUAGAGGUGAAAUUCGUAGAUAUCGGGAGGAACACCAGCGGCGAAGGCGGCCACCUGGACGGUGACUGACGCUGAGACGCGAAAGUGUGGGGAGCAAACAGG